rnacentral:rRNA from 1 species
UGAGGAAUAUUGGUCAAUGGGCGAGAGCCUGAACCAGCCAAGUAGCGUGCAGGAUGACGGCCCUAUGGGUUGUAAACUGCUUUUGUAAGGGAACAAAGUUCGGGACGUGUCCCGUUUUGCGUGUACCUUACGAAUAAGGACCGGCUAAUUCCGUGCCAGCAGCCGCGGUAAUACGGAAGGUCCGGGCGUUAUCCGGAUUUAUUGGGUUUAAAGGGAGCGUAGGCCGAAGGUUAAGCGUGUUGUGAAAUGUAGUCGCUCAACGGGUGCACUGCAGCGCGAACUGGCUUUCUUGAGUGCGCGGAAAGUUGGCGGAAUUCGUUGUGUAGCGGUGA